UACGGAGGGUGCAAGGCGUUAUCCGGAUUUAUCUGGGUUUAAAGGGUGCGCAGGCGGAUAUGUAAGUCAGUGGUGAAAUCUCUGGGCUUAACCCGGAAAUUGCCAUUGAUACUAUAUAUCUUGAAUGUUGUGGAGGUAAGCGGAAUAUGUCAUGUAGCGGUGAAAUGCUUAGAUAUGACAUAGAACACCUAUUGCGAAGGCAGCUUACUACGCAGAUAUUGACGCUCAUGCACGAAAGCGUGGGGAUCAAAACAGG
rnacentral:rRNA from 1 species